AGUAGAGAAAAGGGGCCUCUGGUGACCGCCCCUACCUGGCAUCCCUCUAACCCAGGAGGAGCGUGGGGAAAGGGGCUGUGGGCCUCUCGGGGAGCGAGCUGCGGGUAGCGGCGCACUGGGUACAGGCGCGCGCUUGGCUGUCGCCUCUGCCGCUGUGUUUGGGAGGACUCGAACUGGCGCCAGGUGAGUGCGUACCUGCUCGCCCCUGCCGCGCCGCGCCGCCUUGCUGGGGCCUGGAGGUGUUUCCAGAGGGUUUCUGUGCUGGAGCCCGGGACUUGGUUGCGCCCUGAAAGCCUUGCCUGGACUCUUGCCACCCUCACAGAGCUGAUAGGUGGCCUGCCGAGGAGGACGUGUACUCAUGGUGGCGUGGUGCUCUAGCGCCCCGGAAUAAUCCUGAAAAUGGGAACGCUGCCUCCAAGAGACCGCGCAGCCUGGAGAAGUCGCCAGGGACAGGAUCAGGACUUGAUCCUCGCGGAUCGAUAUGGUCUCAUUCCUCUAGCGUUGGGGUGAUGACCUACUGCCCGCCUGCUGCCUGUUACUGAAAUAUUAGGAAGCUGUGAUUUUCAAAGCUAAUUAUGAAAACAUUUAUCAUUGGAAUCAGUGGGCUCUACAAGAAACAUGGUGGUGAUAUGUGCUUCUGAUGAGGGCCUCAGGAAGCUUACAGUCAUGGUGGAAGAUGAAGGGGAUCCAGCAUGUCACAUGGCGGAAGAAGGAGCAAGAGAGAGUGAGAGGGAGGUUUCAGACUUUUUAAACAACCAGCUCUCACGUGAACCAACAGAGCAAAAACUCACUCAUUACCAUGGGGAUGGCACCAAACCCUUCAUGAGCGAUCUGCCCUCAUGAGCCAAACACCUGCCAGCAGGCCCCACCUCCAGCUUGGGGAUCACAUUUCUUUUUUGAGACAGAGUCUUGCUCGCCCAGGCUGGAGUGCAGUGGUGCAAUCUCGGCUCACUGCAGCCUCCGCCUCCUGGGUUCAAGCGAUUCUCCUGCCUCAGCCUCCCAAGUUGCUGGGACUACAGGCAUGCACCACCACGCCCAGCUAAUUUUUGUAUUUUUAAUAGAGGUGGGGUUUCACCAUGUUGACCAGGCUGGUCUUGAACUCCUGACCUCAGGUGAUCCACCCACCUCGACCUCCCAAAGUACUGGGAUUACAGGUGUGAGUCACCGUACCCGGCCAGGGAUCACAUUUCAAUAUGAGAUCUGGAGGGGACAAACAUCCAAACUCAGUCACUGGGGAAAGAGAUGAUAACCUUCAUGGGAUUCUCUCAGAGUCCCACAACAUAAAAAAGUUUAAAUCCAUCCUGGCAUUAGACUUUCCCAUCUCCAUUACUUAACAUGGACUAGUUUUAUUAGUAUACAACUUCUCAAUCCUUAGUUUCCUCAACUGGAAAAUUGGAAUAUUAACAUCUACCUGUUGCAGAAUGUAUUCUCCACGUGUUUGAGUAAUUACAGACAGCCUUUUAACUUCUCCCCAGCCCACUGUUAUGUCCAAAUACAAUGAGCCCUCUUGUUACCUGGCACAUAAAAAAUAAAUGGGCCAGGAGUUGUGCAUUUAUUUGGGUGUUGUGAGCAAAGAAGGGAGUGGCACCAAGUAGUCACCCUUUUUCCUUCCUCAGAUCCUAGGACAGAAUGCAUGCUGGGCACGCUUCUCCUCAGGUUGGGUAGCACACGCAAGCUACACGUGGUGGUUGUGGGCGUGCCAUAGGAAAAUGUUCCUAUUCCUUUCCCACAUGUUUUGGGUGGCCUUCCUAUUCCUUUACCCCAUCCUAUUCCCCCAUUCCUAUCCCUUUCCCCCAUCCUAUUCCCUUCCCCAAGGAAGGUUCCUAUUCCUUUCCGCCAUGUUUUGGGUGGCCUGAGCUGUCACCUGACCAGGAUGUCUGCAGUCUGAGUGUGGAUCUUAGGUGCAGGCUUGUUUAAAUACUUUUUCUCCCCUCUCCUCUCCAUAUCUCAGACUGUCUUCUAGCCGAUCUGUCUCCUCCAAGGCUUGUGCAAAAAUGGGGUGUGUAUUUCUCAUUAGCUUUAGCUAAGUCAGUGAGAAAGGAUCUAAUUACUACUGUUGGUUUGACUGCGUGAUCUUAACAGAGAUAAGUCUAAAAAAUGACAGAUUUUUCUAGCCAGAUUGUUCAUAUUGUAAUAAAGUCACCCCUGUUCACUAUCUCAUUUAAACCAAAACUUAAUACCUAAACUAUGGACAUUUGGUAUGGUUUACAGACAUUUUUGUUAAAGAAGGGGAAAAGUCAUAAUAUGUUCUUGAUACAUAGGGUAGCACCCACUCACUUUUCAUCGUUUUCAAAGAGAUGGCCCAUAUCCUACCCAAUUGUAUAUCGUAAGGUUACAUGAGAAAUCUUGUGAAUCAGGUUCCUUCUACCUUGAGGUAUAAGGUAGUAAUUGAGUUAUAUACAAGCCAUUUUGAUGAAUGGAUAUUAGUUCAUUUUCCCUUUUCUAGAUUAUAAGUAUUUGUGGAUUGAUCUCAUCUGGGAUUAAGCAAAGUUUCUUACAAAUAGAUGUGUAGUCAGGAGGUUUUUGUGCUGUGAACAUUUUG
rnacentral:lncRNA from 1 species